AACAUCGCGCACCUGCGGGAACCUGCGGAAGGAUCAUUAAUGAUUGGUGGCUGUUGCUGACUAGUGUUUCUAGUAUGUGCACGCCACACCUUCAAUCCCACUUACACCUGUGCACCUUCUGUAAUAGAUCUAUGUGGAUACGGAGAUAUGAAAGUUUGCGCUCUCGUACUCUGUUGAAGCAGUCUACUACGUUUUUUACACACACACAAUAGUCAUUGAAUGUAUUUUUUAUUCUUAUGA
rnacentral:misc_RNA from 1 species